rnacentral:rRNA from 1 species
UACGGGGGGAGCAAGCGUUGUCCGGAUUUACUGGGCGUAAAAGGCGUGCAGGCGGUCUGUUAAGUUCAGGGUGAAAGCUCCCGGCUCAACUGGGAGAGGUCCUUGGAUACUGGCAGACUUGAGGAGGGUAGAGGAGAGUGGAAUUCCCGGUGUAGUGGUGAUAUGCGUAGAUAUCGGGAGGAACACCAGUGGCGAAGGCGGCUCUCUGGGCCCUACCUGACGCUGAGACGCGAAAGCGUGGGGAGCGAACCGG